GCUUUUAAUAUGGACCACACCAAUUGGCUACCAAUGAGAGUAAUACUUCAAAGUAAGGCUUUAUAAAUAGAAGUUAUAUAUUCUAAGAAAUAAAGGAGAAAAAGAUCAUUGAACAAAAAAAUAUCAUAAUAAUGGAGAGGAAAACACUCCUUGGACUGAGCUUCUUCCUCUUUGUUCUCUUAGCUGCUCAAGAAGCUGUGGUGAAGAUUGAAGGUUGUGAGAAAAAGAGUUCAGUUGGCUUCGGUGGUUUAUGCAUUGGUCCAAAACUAAGUUAUGAGUGUAACUUUAUUUGCAUGUAUACUGACCAUUUAAAAGGUGGUUACUGCAAAAAUGAGGAGUGCAUGUGUUCCUGUUGAAUUUGCAACUAUAUAUAGAAAAUAAAUAAAAGCUAGCUAGUUCAUGAAAUAAAUCAGGAAUUAAUGCUCUUUCCUUUGUUGAGAAUGAGAAUAAAAUUAAUUAAUUGGUAAGGAUUAUAUAUUUUACCUCACGUAUAUUAUAUUGGGGUAAUCUUGCUUUUGAUCUUUGUAA